rnacentral:rRNA from 1 species
UACGAAGGGUCCAAGCGUUGUUCGGAAUCAUUGGGCGUAAAGCGCGCGCAGGCGGAUCAGUAAGUCAGGUGUGAAAAUCUCGAAGCUCAACUUCGAAACUGCGCCUGAAACUACUAGUCUAGAAUGUCGGAGGGGGCAGGGGGAAUUUUUCACGUGUAGGGGGUAAAAAUCCGUAGAGAUGUGAAAGGAACACCGGAGGCGAA